AAUGAACGUUGGCGGCAUGGAUUAGGCAUGCAAGUCGAGCGAGAAGGGUUUUGAAGCUUGCUUUAGAACCCGGACAGCGGCGAAAGGGAGAGUAACGCGUAGUUAUGUGCCCUAGGGUCCGGAAUAGCCACGGGAAACUGUGGGUAAUGCCGGAUAAUAUCCCCGGAUCAAAGGUGUGAUUCCGCCCUAGGAGCAGACUGCGUCCUACUAGCUAGUUGGUGGGGUAAUGGCCCACCAAGGCAACGGUGGGUAGCGGGUGCGAGAGCAUGACCCGUCUCACUGGGACUGAGACACUGCCCAGACACCUACGGGUGGCUGCAGUCGAGAAUCUUCGGCAAUGGGCGAAAGCCUGACCGAGCGAUGCCGCGUGCGGGAUGAAGGCCCUCGGGUUGUAAACCGCUGUCGUAGGGGAGGAAGGUUUCGUGAAGAGCGAAAUUUGACCUAUCCUAGGAGGAAGUACGGGCUAAGUUCGUGCCAGCCGCCGCAGUAAUAC
rnacentral:rRNA from 1 species